rnacentral:rRNA from 1 species
UACGUAGGGCGCAAGCGUUGUCCGGAAUUAUUGGGCGUAACGAGCUCGUAGGCGGUUUGUCGCGUCGGAUGUGAAAGCCCGGGGCUUAACUCCGGGUCUGCAUUCGAUACGGGCAGGCUAGAGUUCGGUAGGGGAGAUCGGAAUUCCUGGUGUAGCGGUGAAAUGCGCAGAUAUCGGGAGGAACACCGGUGGCGAAGGCGGUUCUCUGGGCCUGUACUGACGCUGAGGAGCGAAAGCGUGGGGAGCGAACAGG